GGGGAAAUAGCUCAGUUGGUUAGAGCGCUGGUCUGUCACGCCAGAAGUCGCGGGUUCGAACCCCGUUUUCCCCG
rnacentral:tRNA from 1 species